UAGGGUUCACUUUUUAUGUUG
rnacentral:piRNA from 1 species